GCCCGGCCCGGCCUUCGCACUCGGGGAGCUUGAGGGCAGGACCAGCGGAAGGGAGCACGGCGCCUUGCUGAGGAGCACGGAGUUGCUACCCCUUUGGAAAUUUUGAAUGGAGGCUUGGACCCCUUUGAAUUGUGGUGCUGGGGAGAAAAGGGCUCUACCUGUUUGCUCUUGAUCUCCCCUGAUGAGUUUGUAGGCAGCCACCAGGUCCCCCCUCAGCCUCCUCUUGCUGAGCCUGAACAGGUUCAGGUCCUUCAGUCUCUCCUCGUAGGACCUGUCGGGCUGCCCUCUCACCAAGUGGGUGGCCCUCCUCUGAACCCUCUCCAGGCUGGCCACAUCCCUUUUGAAGUGCGCCGCCCAGUACUGGAUGCAGUACCCCAACUGCGGCCUGACCAAAGAUGCAUAGAGGGGGAGUAUCACCUCUCUGGACUGGCUUGAGAUGGACCUUUGGAUGCACCUUUGGAUGCAUGACAAGGGAGAAUACAAGUUUGUAAACUACCUGAGCAUGAUGUCAGACUUGUCUACUUCGCCUUUUGCAUGUUGGGAGGAAAUUCAUUUAACCUGAAGAUAAAUUACAGUAUUGGGAUCAAAGCAAAAACACACAGGUAGAGUGGCCACUGACACAUCCCCAGAAUACAGGACAUCCUCUUGGUAAGGUGUGGGACCACUGGCCCUCUCAACCAAUCAGCGAUGAGGGGCAGGGCUGAUACCUCCUUGGCCAAUCAGCAGCAAGGGGUGGGGCUACCACAAAAAGGCAGAAAAUUGUACCAGCCUUGACUUAUUGCUCACCAUAUUAUAAAAUAUUAAUUCUUUUUCAUUUUGCACUUUUAUAGACAUUUAAUCCAAACAGUAGCAAUUUUGUUCAUGAGUACCAAAUUAAUAAAAAUAAUUAUUAUAACUUUA